rnacentral:rRNA from 1 species
CCUACGGGGGGCAGCAGUGAGGAAUAUUGGUCAAUGGACGCAAGCCUGAACCAGCCAUGCCGCGUGCAGGAAGACGGCCCUAUGAGUUGUAAACUGCUUUUGUACGAGGGUAAACGCAGAUACGCGUAUCUGUCUGAAAGUAUCGUACGAAUAAGGAUCGGCUAACUCCGUGCCCGCAGCCGCGGUAAUACGGAGGAUUCAAGCGUUAUCCGGAUUUAUUGGGUUUAAAGGGUGCGUAGGCGGGCGGAUUAGUUAGAGGGGAAAUCCCGAGGGUCAACCUCGGCAUUGCCUCUGAUACUGGUCGGCUAGAGAGUAGUAGCGGUAGGCGGAAUGUGUGGUGUAGCGGUGAAAUGCUUAGAGAUCAUGCAGAACACCGAUUGCGAAGGCAGCUUACCAGGCUACUUCUGACGUUGAGGCACGAAAGCGUGGGGAGCAAACAGGAUUAGAUACCCGAGUAGUC